rnacentral:lncRNA from 1 species
CCGGUGGGUUUGUGGCACCGCCAGCUUUGGGUGGUCACCACAGUCCAUCCCGAUGUGCCCCCAAACCCGUCUGUGCCCCCUGCAGAGGACCUGGGCAUGAGGCAUCGCCUGUGGGUGUACUCGGGCCGGAGGGGUGUCCACUGCUGGGUGUGUGACGAUGCGGUGAGGAAAUGGUCCCCAGCGCUGCGGGCGGCCACCGUGGAGUACCUGACCCUGGUGAAGGGCGGAGCAGACACGGUGAAGAAGGUGAACCUCUCCUACCCCGUGCACCCCUUCAUCAGGCGCUCGGUGGCCGUGGUGGAGAAGUACUUCGAGGAGUAUGCGCUGGUGGGGCAGGACAUCCUGGGCAGCCCCGAGAGCUGGGACAAGGUGCUGGCCCUGGUCCCGGAGGAUAUCCUUCCCGGUGCCGUGGCGGGGCCGGAGGGAGGGUCUGCGCGGGGUCGGUGGGGUCCAGGCGGAGUGCGGGAUGAGCCUUGACGGCCGGCACAGCACCGCGAGGCGCUGCAGGGCGAGUUCCCGCGCAGGAAGGACUCGGUGCAGCGCUGGGAGGUGCUGCGGGGCCGCAUGGAGCGGACACGGGGCCGCGGGGCCGCCCCGUGCUACGCGGACUGGGAGAUCAUGCUGCAGUUCUGCUUCCCCCGCCUCGACAUCAACGUCAGCAAGGGCGUGGGGCACCUGCUCAAGAGCCCCUUCAGCGUCCACCCCAAAACGGGCCGCAUUUCGGUGCCGCUGGACCUGCAGACACUGGACCAGUUUGACCCGUUCGCUGUCCCCACCAUCACCUCCCUGUGCCACGAGCUGGACACGGCUGGCAGCGAUGGGGAGCAGGAGGACGUCGGGGAGAUGGAGCCGAAGCGCCGGGCGAGGGACUACAAGAGGACAAGCCUGGCUCCCUACGUGAGGGUCUUCGAGCAGUUCGUGGAGGGCAUGGAGAGCGCCCGGCGGGGGGAGCGGCUGCGCCGGAGCGGUGGGUGCCAGGAGGGGGAGACCCCCUGGCUCUGAGAAACGGCUCUUUUUCUGGAAAAAUUCCCGUUUCUCCUCUUGGCAGACAUUCAAGGAGACUUCUGAGGCCUCGCUGCCAGGGUCCUGGAUGAAAGGACGGCGAGGGAGCGACGGCCAUUGUCACUUCUGUCCUUGUCAUUGUCACCUCGGCUGCCAGGGGGGUCCCGGUGCCUUGGAGCAGCCGAACUGCACCGCCUCCCUGUUCCUCACUCACAGCCCCUUACACUUUUUGUACUUUUUGUACCUUUUCUACACAAAAACCAUUAAAUGUUUCUGGUCACCCUUGUGCUGUGCCCGAGGUGGGCGGGGCUCUGUGUGUGGGGUCUGUGUGGGGUCUGU